UCUCCCGAUGACACCGCUAGUGGCGGGAAUAUUCACAACACGGAGACUUUCCGGAUCCUGCCUCCUCUCUUUUAACUACACGUUUCUCUGUGUUUGUUUGACUUUUGUUGUGAGUUGAAGCGUUUAUUAUCAGCUGUCAAUUUGGUGGAGUUUGGUGGUUUUAGUGCACGGUUUGGAAGCAUGUCGGACGCCUUGUCAGAGAAUGGGAGCGAGCAGAACGACAGCCAGGAGGAGUUGAUGACCCCCGUUGAGCUGAUCGCUAAACUGGAAGAAGCCUGGCUAAACGAAAAGUUUUCCCCUGACUUACUGGAGAACAAAUCAGAAGUAGUAGAGUGUGUGAUGGAGCAGCUCACCCACAUGGAAGACAACCUGCAGCGAGUGAGUAAAGGGGACAUGAAGGCCAGCGUUCACCGCAUGGAGAUCGACCGCAUCCGCUUCGUCCUCAGCAGCUACCUGCGCUCCCGCCUUCAGAAGAUUGAGAAGUUCUUCCCUCAUGUCCUCGAGAAGGAGAAGUCGAGGGCCGACGGAGACCCCUCCUACCUGUCCCCUGAGGAGUACGCCUUUGCCAGAGAAUACCUGGCUAACACAGAGACCUACCUGAAGGCCGUAGCGCUGAGACACAUGCCCCCCAACCUGCAGGCGGUGGACAUGAUGAAAGCAGUCCCUGAGCCCUGCUUGGACUCCUUUGUGUUUCUGCGCGUGAAGGAGCAGCAGGAUAACAUCAUGGUGGAGCCCGAGACAGACGAUCAAAGGUUCAGUCACUGCCUCCCUCACUGCCUCUCCCGUCUGUUGUUGUUUGGGCUCUGCUGUCUGUGUACACUAGGGGGCGAUGUUUACACGUGGUUCUGUUUUGAUGCUGGUUCUGUACCUUCUCCCCUCCAGAGAGUAUGUGGUGGACCUUGACGUAGGUUCUCAGCAUCUGAUGCGGUACAGAACCAUCGCACCACUGGUUUCCACUGGAGCUGUGCAGUUAAUUUAAUGGACAUGGUUUUUCUUUCCUUUUGAAUAUUCCCGGCCUGAAGAACGUGUAUGAACAGCUCCUGAGGGAUAAAGUUACAGACUGAUUGAGAGCUCAGUCUCCUCCAGAUUCUCUUGAGCAAACACAUCUGUGUAGGAUGGAUAAAGAACAUGGCAUUUAAUAACCAUAUUUUAAAGGUCACUUUUUGCGUUUGGCUUUUAUCACGAAAUAACUUGAAAUUUGUUUAUUUAAUGUAUUGCGUAAUGGCGAGCUGCGUCACACCACUGGAGGGUAGGGUGACUGUUGCAUCUCCGAGUGCAGUACGUGCAAAGAAGCACACAGCCAGAUAAUUUUGAUUGUAGGAUCCUUACUACCCUAUCACAACCAAUGACGAUUACCAGAUAGGUAGACCAACUUUCCUGCCCAAUCUCUGUAUAUUUAAUUGCACUUUUGCAAACUAACUCAAUUGUAACAAUUAUGAAUGGUUAAUUGUUCCUUGUUAAACGGGCAUUUCUUUAAAUCAGUCUCUGUGAGCCUCCAUUUCAUAACAGUUGGGAAGCGUGCUGUCGUUACUUCAUCACAAAAUGUGCUACGAGAAUAUAAUUAACCUCAAAUUGAAUUUGCAAAGUGACUGGAAGGGAGGCUACAAGCCCACCUCGGUAUUUAUAGCUGAACUCUGUCAUGCAACAACACAGAUCACCUUGCAGUGUCUUAGUGAGGGUCUUGGCGUAAGGGAACCAGGACCUCAAACUAUACCGGGUUCCCCUAUCUUCAGAGCGGCUUAAUUAGUGAGCGGUGCUUUUGACAACAGACCAGGGAUGGAUUACCUCCCAGCGGCACUGAAGCCCAAGACUCCGUGCUACCAAUUCAAUAUUGUCUCUACAACAUGUUACCUACUGAUAUCUUAAUGGGGCCCGAAAGCCAUCUAACAUUGGUUAUAUUAUGUGAUUUGUCUCAAUAGGGCCCCCAAUUCAUAUGCCACGGGUUGUGGCAAUUCAUGAAUAGGGUUAGAAAUGUAAUAUAGGGCCCUGAAACACUGGUUAUGUUAGUCACUCUUGGUAUCUGAAAGGGGCCCCUCAAUCAAAUUGCAUGGGAUUUGAUAUGUCAUGUCUUGGGGGGGGGGCUCCUCAACCACAGGUUAUGUUGUCAAUCAAAUAACGUGGGGUAUUAAAUGUCACGCCCCCCUUUAUCUGCUUCAUCAGUCUGCUGUCCGCAGCAGCCCCUGUUUCCGACGAUGCAGCGCAAUCAUACAGGACAGAUUUAUGGGGUCCUCACGUGGUGGGGGGGGCCCUUUUCUCACCGCCUGGGCAUAAUCCGUCGCUGUCAGAGGCGCCCGACAGGGGUACACAGGAGGAUUGCCCCCCCCCCCCCUCCGCAACAGAGGACUGACGAAAACAGCGCUAUCAUUAGGAGAGUGGCCAAGAGGCUGAAUGCUUGGACGGAGGCCAGGAAGUCAGUAAUGCCAAGGGUCAGACCACAGACGUUUGAAAGUCUGAGACCUGUGAAAUGCAACCAGCACCCAAAGGAAACAUCCUUUAAGAGCUUUCAGGGUCUCUAUUCUCAGUGCCUGUUCUGAAACAACAUGGUAUUGAAUGAGGAUACGUUUUCGGAGUAUACAAAGAAAUAUGUUCUAUAUUCAAGCAAAACUGAAUAAAAAGGUAGUAAUCUAA